GACGAACGCUGGCGGCGUGCCUAAUACAUGCAAGUAGAACGCUGAAGGAGGAGCUUGCUUCUCUGGAUGAGUUGCGAACGGGUGAGUAACGCGUAGGUAACCUGCCUGGUAGCGGGGGAUAACUAUUGGAAACGAUAGCUAAUACCGCAUAAUAGCAGUUGUUGCAUGACAACUGUUUGAAAGGUGCAAAUGCAUCACUACCAGAUGGACCUGCGUUGUAUUAGCUAGUUGGUGGGGUAAAGGCUCACCAAGGCGACGAUACAUAGCCGACCUGAGAGGGUGAUCGGCCACACUGGGACUGAGACACGGCCCAGACUCCUACGGGAGGCAGCAGUAGGGAAUCUUCGGCAAUGGACGGAAGUCUGACCGAGCAACGCCGCGUGAGUGAAGAAGGGUUUCGGAUCGUAAAGCUCUGUUGUAAGAGAAGAACGAGUGUGAGAGUGGAAAGUUCACACUGUGACGGUAUCUUACCAGAAAGGGACGGCUAACUACGUG
rnacentral:rRNA from 1 species